rnacentral:ncRNA from 1 species
UCGAUCAAGGCAAACCCUUCGAAAGACGGGGACGCAAAGCUAUAGGGGCUUCGUGAGGAUGAAUCCUUCACAUGCCAGCCAGUUGCCGA